ensembl:piRNA 21ur-5170 ncRNA
UUAACUAAAGAGCAGAAUAUG